rnacentral:rRNA from 1 species
CCUACGGGCGGCAGCAGCGGGGAAUAUUGGACAAUGGGGGGAACCCUGAUCCAGCCAUGCCGCGUGUGUGAAGAAGGCCCUCGGGUUGUAAAGCACUUUCAGUGAGGAAGAACGCCUGGUGGUUAAUACCCAUCAGGAAAGACAUCACUCACAGAAGAAGCACCGGCUAACUCCGUGCCAGCAGCCGCGGUAAUACGGAGGGUGCGAGCGUUAAUCGGAAUUACUGGGCGUAAAGCGCGCGUAGGUGGCUUGAUAAGCCGGUUGUGAAAGCCCCGGGCUCAACCUGGGAACGGCAUCCGGAACUGUCAAGCUAGAGUGCAGGAGAGGAAGGUAGAAUUCCCGGUGUAGCGGUGAAAUGCGUAGAGAUCGGGAGGAAUACCAGUGGCGAAGGCGGCCUUCUGGACUGACACUGACACUGAGGUGCGAAAGCGUGGGUAGCAAACAGGAUUAGAUACCCUAGUAGUC